GUGCCGGGCGCGGGGCGGUGCGGGAUGGCGGCGGCGCGGAGAGCCGGGGCGGCCGAUCCCCGCGCGGGCUUCAGGCGGGCGGAGCCGGGCCCCGCCGUGCCGCAGGGGCUGCUGCGGGCGGCCCGGAAGAGCGGGCAGCUGAACCUGUCGGGCCGGAGCCUGGGCGAGGUGCCUCAGCACGUGUGGCGGAUAAACCUGGACGCUCCCGAGGAGGCUGCUCAGAACCUCUCCUUCGGCGCCGCGGACCGCUGGUGGGAGCAGGCGGACCUGACCAAGCUGAUCCUCGCCUCCAACCAGCUGCGGAGCCUGUCAGAGGACGUGCAGCUCCUGCCCGCGCUCACUGUUCUGGAUGUGCAUGAUAAUCAACUGACAUCACUUCCUUCUGCUUUAGGGCAAUUAGAAAAUCUUCAGAAACUUGAUGUCAGCCACAACAGACUGACAAGCAUCCCUGAAGAGCUGCUGCAGUUGUCCCGUCUGAGGAGCCUCCUUCUUCAUCACAAUGAGCUGAGCCACUUGCCGGAUGGAUUUGGACAGCUGGUCAAUCUGGAAGAAUUAGAUGUGUCCAACAACCAUCUCACAGACAUUCCAACAAGUUUUGCUUUGCUCAUUAACUUAGUGCGACUCAAUUUGGCUUCUAAUCAACUGAAGAACCUGCCUGCAGAUAUCAGUGCCAUGAAAAGCCUAAGACAACUAGACUGUACUAAAAACUACCUGGAAACUGUACCUUCUAAAUUAGCAACUAUGGCAUCUUUGGAACAACUUUACCUGAGAAAAAAUAAGUUACGUUCCUUACCAGAAUUUCCCUCCUGCAAAUUACUGAAGGAGUUACAUGCUGGUGAAAAUCAGAUUGAAAUAUUGAAUGCAGAGAGUCUGAAGCAUCUGAAUUCCCUCUCUGUGCUGGAACUGAGAGACAACAAGAUAAAAUCAGUUCCUGAUGAGAUUACUCUGCUGCAGAAGCUGGAGAGACUUGACCUUGCCAACAAUGAUAUCAGUAGGUUGCCUUACACCUUGGGGAACCUGCCUCAGCUGAAAUUCCUGGCAUUGGAGGGGAAUCCUCUCAGAGCCAUUCGCAGAGACCUGCUGGAGAAGGGCACCCAGGAACUCCUGAAAUACCUACGAAGCAGAAUCCAAGAUGAUGUGACCAGCCCAAAUGGAGAGCCUCCUGUGACUGCCAUGACUCUUCCCAGCGAGUCCAGGGUUAACAUGCAUGCCAUAACUUCCCUGAAAUUACUGGAAUACAGUGAGAAACAGGCAGCUGUGGUUCCUGAUGAAAUGUUCCAAGCAGUCAGAAGCCAUCCUGUCACCACGGUCAACUUCAGCAAAAACCAGCUGAGUCAAGUUCCCCCAAGGUACUUCUCUAAAGGUCUUUCUCUGUUUGUUACUUUAUUUUCUGCUCUUGUUCCUCAGCACCUUGUGUGUUUCCUCAGCAAGUGUAUUUGCACUUGGUGCCAUGUCUGUGUGUACAGAUGGAUGGAAGUGUCAUUGAGAGGCUGAACACUGCACUUGCAUUUUGUCUGAGGAGCAGGCAGGUGGGUUCCUUGGCUGGGAGGAGGAUGCAGCAAAGAGAAGCUUGGCCAGUCAGUGGUGCUCUCAUAACAUGUUGUUUAUCAUCUUCCUUGGCUGAGCCUUGUUGAGUUGAGUGAGUGGAGACUGGUGUGACUUCUCAUCAUAAUGAAGUGCUGUACUCAGCCACAGUGUGGGAUUGUUCUCUCUGCAGUGCAGUCUAUUCCCAUAGGGAGAUAAUCUGUGUGGAUUCACCACUUCACUGGGUGAUAGCUUGGAACUAGAGCUGAGGUCCUGUUUAAAACUGAUUUCUUCACAUAGCAUAAUUAUGGGGGGUUUUUAUGGAACCCUGAACAAUUUCCUUGCCUCUUGAUAGGUUUUGUGUCCCAUCAUCUAGCAUUUGAUGUUAUUGCACUUGUUAAUUCAUCCACAGUCAAGGAAGAGCUUUCUGGUGACACAGAUGGGAAUAGUCUUUUGUGUCAGGAGGAAGGUUACUGCAUCUCUGGUAGCCUCCCAAAAAUCAUGAAAGCUGAUUUUUGAGAAUACUACCACAUUUGUGGGGUUAACCUAGUUCCAUUCUUGGACCCAGGUGUGCAGAACAUUUAACCUUUGUCACAUAGAACUUGAGGAGCUGUUUAUUCCCAGGGGAGGCAAGUAUGGGUGUGCAGCUGCUGGGUGCCACAGGGUUCAGUGCCAAUCCAGGUAGGAGAGAUGAGUGUGUUCUCAUUUAACUCCCUUCUGUUAUUAGGGCUGAAAUGGAGCUUCUGUCCUAGGGAUUCAAUACCUAACUUGGUGAGCUUGUAAACAUUUGACAUCAAAGCUUCUUUAUUAUAAUAUUCUUUUGCAAGAAGCAGCACGUGCUGCCUCCCUGAAGCCUGGUACAGCAGAUCAGUGGAACAGAAGCAAAAGAUGGAAAUAAAAGAAGAAUCUCCCUCUUUUUGUUUGAUUGCUAAAGAAGGUGGGCAGGGUCUUUUUGUUACAGCACUCAUGGGGCAGGGGGUGGCAGUGGUGGUCACCUGUGCCAUCGUUUCUGAAAGACCUCAGCUGUGUUUCAGUGAGUAGCCUUUUGCAGGACAAUUUGUUCUCCUGCUAGAAAGGAGCUGUGUCUGUACAUCAAGUGUAAGACUCCAGGCCAGGCAGCUGUCACAGGUGAGGUUUCCAUUACUGUCACUCCACAAAAUUGCUUCUGAAAUGUCAAGAAAGAGAUUUGCAGAAUAAAGCAGGUUGGUUGUUGGUUUUUUUUUUUCCCACAGUAACUUAGAAAAUAGAUUGCAAACAUGAGCUUACAUAAUAAAAGUUUAUUCCUGUUGGGUUUCAGGAUUGUGGAGCUGAAAGACUGGGUUUGUGAUGUCAACCUUGGCUUCAACAAAUUAUCAUCCAUUUCCUUGGAGCUUUGCAUGCUCCAUAAAUUG